GAAUAAGCGUCUCUCACAAGAAUAGUGCAGCAAUAACCAAAAGUACUACCAUGCUAUGCAACAAUCAAAAGCUGAAGCGAAAAUAACAAGGCAAUAAUUUCUCUGAUUGUGAAUUGUGAUGCGAUCGAAUCGGAGCAUGGAGGGAGGCAACAGAAAAGGGUACGCGUGGCCAGUAUCUGCUGGAUUCAACGCCGCUCGUGCAGCCAUUUCCGUUAAGCUCCCUCUUCACCAGUUUGUCAGGUACGGGAUGGUGUUAUUGUUCAAUGUCACCAUGUGGGCUUGUUAUGUCAACAGCCUUAAAGCUCUCUCCUCUCUUCAGGCAACUGUCACCAAUUUCGCUACCAAUUUCAUCUCUUCCGGUUUAGCCGGUUUCGUCUUCUUUCACGAAUCGCUCUCUUUCCAGUGGUUUGCAGGUGCCAUACUUAUAAUAAUUGGUGUAGUAAUACUUAGUAACUCAAGUUUUGAGAAGAAGCACAUUGUCACCUACCUACCUGGAAGUGUUAGGUGAUGUAAAGGCACUGCAUGUUCAACUUGGGUGACCUCAAACUCAAGUACUCAACAACCCUUCUGCAAGUUGGAAAGAUCAGAGAUCGAGAGAUGGGAAAGAGCAUGGGGGAGUUGAGAGUGGAGGAGUUGGUGAAUGCAGGAGGCAUAAGAGUGGAAGAAGGCAAUGAAUUAUACCGUGUUUUGAGGGAUAUCCUUUCUGAGUUUCAGUCUCCUUCACACAUAUGGCGCCAAACUGUGACUCGGAGACUGCUCAAACCAUCCUAUCCACACAUCAGCAUCUCUACUACUCUGUUUAUCACUCUCAACAUUCUUCCCUCCCACUCUAUUGCUUCCCUUCUCUAGAGCAAUCCAAACACACCAACCUGGGCUGUCUCAUGGAAACUCAUGCCCCUAACCUCUUAGGACCUUCCUACAAAGACCCCAUUACCAGUUUUCAUCUCUUUCACAAGUUUUUUGUUCAACACCCUCGGCUUUACUGGUCCCUUAUUCUCAAGGAACUUUCAGUUUCCUUUGUUGAACCUCCCAAGUGCAUUUUAGAUACUUCUGACCCUUCUAAACAUGGAGGGACUUGGCUCCCGGUUCUGUCCUCGACAUUGCUGAUAGCUGUUUGCAACCCAGUUCACAUCCUUACAAACCAGAUGAUAGUUUAGCCAUUGUUUGGAGAGAUGAAGGUUUUGAUGAUUCUGAGGUUUAAUCAUAUCAUGCUUAAACAAUUCCGGCACCAAGUAAUGUUGGUAGCAAAUGCAAUAGAUGUCACAUUCUCAAAAGGAGAUGCAAUCGCCAUUGACAUGCAAAUGACAGUCAAUGCUGUGAUUAUAUAUCUAGCCAUUGUUCUUGCAGGAUGUGUUGUUUGGUAUCAAUAGCUGAUAGCUUUGUUCCAAAAGAAAUUGCAACGUGUUUCUAAAGCAAAGGGUAUUUUCACUCAGCCAGAGGAUGUUGCUUGUGUUGGUGAAGUGGGCUUGUUUCCAAUAUAUAUGGGAGCGACUGAUAGAUUGCUUAAUGCGGAUAAUGAGGAGGUUUACUUUAAGGGAAUGCCCAUUUACAAAGGAAAGGUUCUUAGGAGACAUGGAGAUAUAAUCAAAAGAACUGCUGGAGGUCGUUUCAUUGGACAAGGGCGGGCUGAUGACACGAUGAAUCUUGGCGGAAUAAAGACAAGUUCUGUAGAAAUUGAGCAUGUCUGUGAUAGAGCCAACAAAGGCAUUUUGGAGACAGCUGCAAUCAGUGUUUCUCCUGCAAAUGGAGGCCCGGAACAACUGGUUAUAUUUGCAGUUUUAAAGAAAGGAUACAAUUCCAAUGCAGAAACUCUAAAAAGGAAAUUCAGUAAAGCCAUUCAAAGUAACCUUAAUCCUUUGUUUAAGGUGAGCCUUGUUAAAAUUGUGCCCGACUUUCCCCGAACAGCUUCCAACAAAUUACUAAGGAGAGUUUUGAGAGAUCAAAUGAAGCGUGAGCUAUCAAUUCAGAGCAGACUUUAGUAACAUUAUUAAUUCAGUCCAUUCCCUAUGUCUAGAAUACAUUUAUACUGGGUGUGAGGUCUUUGGCGUGUAAUCAAAUGGUGAACAUUUGAUAUUAUUAGUGGGAAAUCCUUCACUUUAUUAAGUCGUAACAUUGUUUAUUGUCAUCCAUUUUUGUCUUCUUUUAAUGUAAAAUAAUGGAAUAUAAAGUAAAAAGAAAUAAAAUGCAGAGUUUAAUUUUAAUGUAGAA